CAGCGCCACGAGUGGCAAUCAUCAUUAUUGGGUCUAAAGCGUCCGUAGCCGGUUUGGUAAAUCUCUUGUGAAAUUGUUAGGCUUAACCUAACAACGUGCAGGAGAAACUGCCAGACUAGGAACCGGGAGAGGUUAGGAGAAUGCUGGGGGGAGCGGUAAAAUGCUAUAAUCCCCAGUGGACUACCAGUGGCGAAGGCGCCUAGCCAGAACGGGUUCGACGGUGAGGGACGAAAGCUAGGGGAGCAAUCCGGAUUAGAUACCCGAGUAGUCC
rnacentral:rRNA from 1 species